GGGUUGUGAGGUUAAGCGACUAAGCGUACACGGUGGAUGCCUAGGCAAUCAGAGGCGAUGAAGGACGUGCUAAUCUGCGAUAAGCGUCGGUAAGGUGAUAUGAACCGUUAUAACCGACGAUUUCCGAAUGGGGAAACCCAGUGCAAUUCGUUGCACUAUCGUUUGAUGAAUACAUAGUCAAACGAAGCGAACCGAGGGAACUGAAACAUCUCAGUACCUCGAGGAAAAGAAAUCAACCGAGAUUCCCCUAGUAGCGGCGAGCGAACGGGGAGCAGCCCAGAGUCUUAAUCAGCAUUAGCAUCAGGAGAACGGUCUGGAAAGGCCGGCAGUAAAGGGUGAUAGCCCCGUAUCCGAAGGUGUUAGUGUUGUGAACUCGACGAGUAGGGCGGGACACGUGUUAUCCUGUCUGAAUAUGGGGGACCAUCCUCCAAGGCUAAAUACUCCUGAUUGACCGAUAGUGAACCAGUACCGUGAGGGAAAGGCGAAAAGAACCCCGGCGAGGGGAGUGAAAUAGAACCUGAAACCGUGUACGUACAAGCAGUGGGAGCACCUUUAUGGUGUGACUGCGUACCUUUUGUAUAAUGGGUCAGCGACUUAUAUUCUGUAGCAAGGUUAACCGUAUAGGGGAGCCGUAGGGAAACCGAGUCUUAACUGGGCGAAUGAGUUGCAGGGUAUAGACCCGAAACCCGGUGAUCUAGCCAUGGGCAGGUUGAAGGUUGGGUAACACUAACUGGAGGACCGAACCGACUAAUGUUGAAAAAUUAGCGGAUGACUUGUGGCUGGGGGUGAAAGGCCAAUCAAACCGGGAGAUAGCUGGUUCUCCCCGAAAGCUAUUUAGGUAGCGCCUCGUGAACUCAUCUUCGGGGGUAGAGCACUGUUUCGACUAGGGGUCAUCCCGACUUACCAACUCGAUGCAAACUACGAAUACCGAAGAAUGUUAUCACGGGAGACACACGGCGGGUGCUAACGUUCGUCGUGAAGAGGGAAACAACCCAGACCGCCAGCUAAGGUCCCAAAGUCAUAGUUAAGUGGGAAACGAAGUGGGAAGGCUCAGACAGCCAGGAUGUUGGCUUAGAAGCAGCCAUCAUUUAAAAGAAAGCGUAAUAGCUCACUGGUCGAGUCGGCCUGCGCGGAAGAUGUAACGGGGCUAAACUAUGCACCGAAGCUGCGGCAGCGAUAUGUAAAUAUUGUUGGGUAGGGGAGCGUUCUGUAAGCCUGUGAAGGUGUGCUGUGAGGCAUGCUGGAGGUAUCAGAAGUGCGAAUGCUGACAUAAGUAACGAUAAUGCGGGUGAAAAACCCGCACGCCGGAAGACCAAGGGUUCCUGUCCAACGUUAAUCGGGGCAGGGUGAGUCGACCCCUAAGGCGAGGCAGAAAUGCGUAGUCGAUGGGAAACGGGUUAAUAUUCCCGUACUGGUGAUAAUUGCGAUGGGGGGGGGACGGAAGGUUAGGCUGGCUGGCCGGACGACGUUUGUCCCGGUUUAAGGAUGUAGGCAGGUGAAUUAGGCAAAUCCGGUUCACUAUAUGCUGAGGUCUGAUGACGAGUCACUACGGUGGCGAAGUAGCUUAUACCCCGCUUCCAGGAAAAGCCUCUAAGCUCUAGAUUAUCAUUAAUCGUACCCCAAACCGACACAGGUGGUCAGGUAGAGAAUACUCAGGCGCUUGAGAGAACUCGGGUGAAGGAACUAGGCAAAAUGGUGCCGUAACUUCGGGAGAAGGCACGCUGGCAUUAGGUGAAGUGGUUUACCCAUGGAGCUGAAGCCAGUCGCAGAUACCAGCUGGCUGCAACUGUUUAUUAAAAACACAGCACUGUGCAAACACGAAAGUGGACGUAUACGGUGUGACGCCUGCCCGGUGCUGGAAGGUUAAUUGAUGGGGUUAUCCGUAAGGAGAAGCUCUUGAUCGAAGCCCCAGUAAACGGCGGCCGUAACUAUAACGGUCCUAAGGUAGCGAAAUUCCUUGUCGGGUAAGUUCCCGACCUGCACGAAUGGCGUAAUGAUGGCCAGGCUGUCUCCACCCGAGACUCAGUGAAAUUGAACUCGCUGUGAAGAUGCAGUGUACCCGCGGCAAGACGGAAAGACCCCGUGAACCUUUACUAUAGCUUGACACUGAACAUUGAGCCUUGAUGUGUAGGAUAGGUGGGAGGCUUUGAAGCGUGGACGCCAGUCUGCGUGGAGCCAACCUUGAAAUACCACCCUUUAAUGUUUGAUGUUCUAACGUAGCCCCGUAAUCCGGGGUGCGGACAGUGUCUGGUGGGUAGUUUGACUGGGGCGGUCUCCUCCCAAAGAGUAACGGAGGAGCACGAAGGUUGGCUAAGCAUGGUCGGACAUCAUGCGGUUAGUGCAAAGGCAUAAGCCAGCUUGACUGCGAGAGUGACGGCUCGAGCAGGUACGAAAGUAGGUCUUAGUGAUCCGGUGGUUCUGUAUGGAAGGGCCAUCGCUCAACGGAUAAAAGGUACUCCGGGGAUAACAGGCUGAUACCGCCCAAGAGUUCAUAUCGACGGCGGUGUUUGGCACCUCGAUGUCGGCUCAUCACAUCCUGGGGCUGAAGUAGGUCCCAAGGGUACGGCUGUUCGCCGUUUAAAGUGGUACGCGAGCUGGGUUUAGAACGUCGUGAGACAGUUCGGUCCCUAUCUGCCGUGGGCGUUGGAAGAUUGAAAGGGGCUGCUCCUAGUACGAGAGGACCGGAGUGGACGCACCACUGGUGUUCGGGUUGUCAUGCCAAUGGCAUUGCCCGGUAGCUAAGUGCGGAAGAGAUAACCGCUGAAAGCAUCUAAGCGGGAAACUUGCCUUGAGAUGAGUCUUCCCUGACCCUUUAAGGGUCCUAAAGGAACGUUUAAGACUAAGACGUUGAUAGGUUGGGUGUGUAAGCGUAGCGAUACGUUGAGCUAACCAAUACUAAUGAACCGUGAGGCUUAACCUGACAACACCGAAGGUGUUU
rnacentral:rRNA from 1 species